UGAUUUGGAAUACGUUGAUUU
ensembl:piRNA 21ur-2908 ncRNA